UACGAAGGGGGCUAGCGUUGUUCGGAAUUACUGGGCGUAAAGCGCGCGUAGGCGGUUUUGCAAGCCAGAGGUGAAAUGCCUGAGCUUAACUUAGGAAUUGCCUUUGGGACUGCGAGGCUUUGAGGACGGGAGAGGUGAGUGGAAUUCCCAGUGUAGAGGUGAAAUUCGUAGAUAUUGGGAAGAACACCGGUGGCGAAGGCGGCUCACUGGCCCGUUUCUGACGCUGCAGCGCGAAAGCGUGGGGAUCAAACAGG
rnacentral:rRNA from 1 species